rnacentral:lncRNA from 1 species
UGCAGCUUCGUAUACUUAGUCAAUUCAUAUUUCAGACCUAGGCACAUAUGCAGAAGGUGUGCAGCUUCCAAGACAUAAUAUCAAAUUCCCAAAUCCCUUCACGAGAUAAUAUAAAUCAUGAUUUUUCUCAAGUGGUAAAGUAUAACAUUUUCCAAAUCCCAAUCAUGCUUACAUGCUUCGAUGAAAUAACUUAAGAUCAUGUUUCAUACUUACAUGCUUUGGUGAAGUAACUUAACAUCAUGUUUCAUUCAUACUUACAUGCUUCGAUGAGACACCUUAAGAUCAUGUAGUGAGAAAUUAUAGUUCUGCGA